GGGGGAACCCACGCGUGGUAAUGCGCGCGUAUCCCCACCUGAACACAUAGGGGUGGGCGAAGGUAAGCCGGUGAAGUGACACAUCUCAGUAACCGGAGGAACGGAAAGAAACCUCGACUCCCAAAGUAGUGGCGAGCGAAAUGGGAUCAGCCCAAACCAUGUAUGUGCCAUGCCUGCGGGCUUAGCAUACGUGGGGUUGUAGGAGUAACAGGGUCGUCCCGCAGAGCGACCGGAGAGUUACAAAAGCAGUGGGUAGCUGAACAGCUUGGAACGGCUGGCAAUACAGGGUGAGAGCCCCGUAAGCGAAAAACACUGCACUCUCUCGUUACCACCUGAGUACGGCCGGGCACGGGAAACCCGGUCGGAACCCGCGGGGACCACCCCGCAAGGCUAAGUACUUUCUGACGACCGAUAGUGAACCAGUACCGUGAGGGAAAGGUGAAAAGAACCCCGGGAGGGGAGUGAAAUAGAACCUGAAACCGCGUGCCUACAAGCUGUGGGAGCCGGCUCGUCCGGUGACCGCGUACUUUUUGCAUAACGGGCC
rnacentral:rRNA from 1 species